UACAGAGGUCUCGAGCGUUAGGCGGAAUCACUGGGCUUAAAGCGUGUGUAGGCGGCGGGCUAAGUACCUUGUGAAAUCCCACGGCUUAACUGUGGAACUGCUGGGUAUGCUGGUUCGCUUGAGCGGUCUAGGGGCGAGCGGAACAAAUGGUGGAGCGGUGAAAUGCGUAGAUAUCAUUUGGAACGCCAACGGUGAAAACAGCUCGCUGGGGACCUGCUGACGCUGAGACACGAAAGCCAGGGGAGCGAACGGG
rnacentral:rRNA from 1 species